GAUGAACGCUGGCGGCGUGCCUAAUACAUGCAAGUCGAGCGAACGGACGAGAAGCUUGCUUCUCUGAUGUUAGCGGCGGACGGGUGGGUAACACGUGGAUAACCUACCUAUAAGACUGGGAUAACUUCGGGAAACCGGAGCUAAUACCGGAUAAUAUUUUGAACCGCAUGGUUCAAAAGUGAAAGACGGUCUUGCUGUCACUUAUAGAUGGAUCCGCGCUGCAUUAGCUAGUUGGUAAGGUAACGGCUUACCAAGUCAACGAUGCAUAGCCGACCUGAGGGGGUGAUCGGCCACACUGGAACUGAGACACGGUCCAGACUCCUACGGGAGGCAGCAGUAGGGAAUCUUCCGCAAUGGGCGAAAGCCUGACGGAGCAACGCCGCGUGAGUGAUGAAGGUCUUCGGAUCGUAAAACUCUGUUAUUAGGGAAGAACAUAUGUGUAAGUAACUGUGCACAUCUUGACGGUACCUAAUCAGAAAGCCACGGCUAACUACGUGCCAGCAGCCGCGGUAAUACGUAGGUGGCAAGCGUUAUCCGGAAUUAUUGGGCGUAAAGCGCGCGUAGGCGGUUUUUUAAGUCUGAUGUGAAAGCCCGCGGCUCAACCGUGGAGGGUCAUUGGAAACUGGAAAACUUGAGUGCAGAAGAGGAAAGUGGAAUUCCAUGUGUAGCGGUGAAAUGCGCAGAGAUAUGGAGGAACACCAGUGGCGAAGGCGACUUUCUGGUCUGUAACUGACGCUGAUGUGCGAAAGCGUGGGGAUCAAACAGGAUUAGAUACCCUGGUAGUCCACGCCGUAAACGAUGAGUGCUAAGUGUUAGGGGGUUUCCGCCCCUUAGUGCUGCAGCUAACGCAUUAAGCACUCCGCCUGGGGAGUACGACCGCAAGGUUGAAACUCAAAGGAAUUGACGGGGACCCGCACAAGCGGUGGAGCAUGUGGUUUAAUUCGAAGCAACGCGAAGAACCUUACCAAAUCUUGACAUCCUUUGACAACUCUAGAGAUAGAGCCUUCCCCUUCGGGGGACAAAGUGACAGGUGGUGCAUGGUUGUCGUCAGCUCGUGUCGUGAGAUGUUGGGUUAAGUCCCGCAACGAGCGCAACCCUUAAGCUUAGUUGCCAUCAUUAAGUUGGGCACUCUAAGUUGACUGCCGGUGACAAACCGGAGGAAGGUGGGGAUGACGUCAAAUCAUCAUGCCCCUUAUGAUUUGGGCUACACACGUGCUACAAUGGACAAUACAAAGGGCAGCGAAACCGCGAGGUCAAGCAAAUCCCAUAAAGUUGUUCUCAGUUCGGAUUGUAGUCUGCAACUCGACUACAUGAAGCUGGAAUCGCUAGUAAUCGUAGAUCAGCAUGCUACGGUGAAUACGUUCCCGGGUCU
rnacentral:rRNA from 1 species